rnacentral:ncRNA from 2 species
AUCAGGAAGCCGGUGCGAGUCCGGCGCGGUCCCGCCACUGUGACCGGGAAGCGACCCUCCCGCACGCCACUGCCCGCGACCCCGCGGGCGGGAAGGCGGAGGCGAGCGACGAUCCGGGAGCCAGGAGACUG